rnacentral:rRNA from 1 species
AGUGAACGCUGGCGGUAGGCCUAACACAUGCAAGUCGAACGGCAGCACAGUAAGAGCUUGCUCUUACGGGUGGCGAGUGGCGGACGGGUGAGGAAUACAUCGGAAUCUACUUUUUCGUGGGGGAUAACGUAGGGAAACUUACGCUAAUACCGCAUACGACCUACGGGUGAAAGCAGGGGAUCUUCGGACCUUGCGCGAUUGAAUGAGCCGAUGUCGGAUUAGCUAGUUGGCGGGGUAAACGCCCACCAAGGCGACGAUCCGUAGCUGGUCUGAGAGGAUGAUCAGCCACACUGGAACUGAGACACGGUCCAGACUCCUACGGGAGGCAGCAGUGGGGAAUAUUGGACAAAGGGCGCAAGCCUGGUCCAGCCAUACCGCGUGGGUGAAGAAGGCCUUCGGGUUGUAAAGCCCUUUUGUUGGGAAAGAAAAGCAGCAGGUUAAUACCCCGCUGUUCUGACGGUACCCAAAGAAUAAGCACCGGCUAACUUCGUG